UACGUAGGGGGCAAGCGUUGUCCGGAUUUAUUGGGCGUAAAGAGCGUGUAGGCGGCCUUACAGGUCAGCUGUGAAAACUCGAGGCUCAACCUCGAGACGUCGGUUGAAACCGUAUGGCUAGAGUCCGGAAGAGGAGAGUGGAAUUCCCGGUGUAGCGGUGAAAUGCGCAGAUAUCGGGAAGAACACCUGCGGCGAAGGCGGGUUGCUGGGCUGACACUGACGCUGAUGCGCGAAAGCCAGGGGAGCGAACGGG
rnacentral:rRNA from 1 species